AGGUAGGAACUGCAGAAAUGUUGCUUCAAAUGCGAAGCACUAGGGUUGCCUCUGUCGUGUCAGGACAGUAACUGUGGAAUGAAGCCAAGCAAACCCCUUCCCCACCAUGGGUGAGCCCUGGAAUCCAUUCAGCUACUUACCCGAUACCCACGGGGACAUUAAGAGAAUCAGAUGUAUAACGCAUACCACAGUCCAAUGCAUAUCCACAUGAACUGACAGUCAUAUGCAUGGCUGCAAUAAUUACAAACCAUGGAGCCUCUUGAAGUUCAUUUGUUUGGUGUGGUUUAAACCUAUGGAGGUCAAGUGGUUAUUUUAUUUGGCUUUGACAAUUACUGGGGGUAACCUCUAAUCUACUAAUUUCUGGCCUGGCUACUUCGCAGUGGUGUACCCCAAAUACUUGCUGUUUCUUCUGGCCAUGUGCUCAUGAUCCAUCUCCUUUCAUGGCAGCUUAUACCUCCCCCUCUCUUGUCCUUCCUCCUCUCUCCUACUCUGCAACCCCCAAAUCAAAACACACCUACCUCUAAUCCAGUAAUUGGCUGUAGCCAUUUUUAUUCAACCAAUAGUUUUAAAUUAAGGAGCAAGGUUUGUACAACAAAAGUUGGUAACCAUGAGAAUUCACUCACAGGCAAGUAGAUCUUUGGGUAUAGAAUUUAGCAUUAUAACCCACAGCAACACACCAAACCUCAACAGUCAUGAUCCUCUUCAUUAUAAACGCUUACAACUAACAAGAUAGGAUAUCAGUGGUGAUAUGAUAGAUUGUAUUCUGUGGAUGUAGAUUACCAUUCAUUCUAUUUAAAAGAAAUCUGAGGGCUGGGGAGCUCAAUUAGUAAAAUGCUUGCUUUGUAACCAUUAGGACCUGAGUUUGGAUCCCUAGCCCCACGUGUAAAGCCAGAAGGUUGGCAGCAUGGCCCCCGUCAUCCCAGCACUGGGGGUGGGUGGGGGAGGUGGGGAGACAGACACAGGCAUAUCCCUGGGGUUUGCUGACCAGCUAGUCUAACCAAUGAGAAAGCAGGUCUCAAAAAAUUAGGUGGAGAGUGACUGAGGAAGAUACAUGACAUCACAUGACAUCAACAUCAGAUCUUCACAUUCACACACACAGCUCCUUCCCAGCUGCUGCUUUGGUUACCUCGUUCUGCUCUGUGUACUCAGAGGAUGAAAACCUUACUCUCAGAUGAGACCUGAUAGGCUUACACCGGCUAGCAUAAUGUCUUCUCCCCGCUACCCUAAAUUAGUAUAAGAAUGGACAUAGCACCCU
rnacentral:lncRNA from 1 species